rnacentral:lncRNA from 1 species
AGGCCAUCUGUGUUUACCAGAAAGGGCCAUUUUUCCAUCCCCCUGACGUCCAGGAAGGCACUCAAGAAGGAACAGAGCGUGCCUCCCUCCGGGCCUGUCCCCCGUCCCUGCCAGCAGGCCCAGCUGGCUGCGUUCUGAGAUCAAGCGCUUUGAAGAACGGGGCCACUGCUUCCUUCACCUGGUCCUGGAAACGCCCAGCCGAGCCGUGGCUGCAGUGCGAACCCGUUUCCUUUCAGGUGAAAAGGUGUCGCUAAGACUAACAGGAUGCAUCAGUGCUUGUCUUUUCCAGAAACCAACCAGCCACAUAAGAAAUCUUUAAUUAACAAACAUAUUUAUAAGAGUGGAAAAAAUCAGAUUAGAAAGAGACGAUGGUCUUUCUAAGGGGAAAGAUAGAGGUGGC